rnacentral:lncRNA from 1 species
UUGCAGGCAUGGCCAGCAACAGUCACAAAGAAGCGGGUCCCCAGACACAGCCCCAGGCACCUGGGCUCGAGGCCACGGAAGAGCUCCCGUGGGUUCCGGGGACAGCAGUUCCCAUGUUUCUGGCUCUGUGGAGCGCACGCUCUCCAGAGCUAACAUUUAUCUCUGCUUUGAACGUGACCCGGCAGGAGCUUGCUGAGGGAAGACAGGAACAGUGCAACUCCGCACAAGGUGGAGACAAGCCAGCAUCCUAGGUAUCCUUCAAAUUCAUCUGUCACUGAGGGAGCUGCUGAGAUGAGCAGAGCGGAAAACCCAGAUGAUAAAGCCAAGCUAGCCACGUGCUGUCCUACCAAUGUUCUUCUGACAACUGGGGCGGAUACAGGAAGUGCCUUACAGGAUGGUGCCAGGGAGAGGAACCAGGAGGGUGUGCACCGCCCUGUGCCCUUUGUCUCCAGCAGACAUCAAAGUGCGAAUGUGGGACUCGGGGCGGGGCAUUGGACCCCGCUAAUCCACCGGAGCUCACUCAGACCUCUGGCAUCUAAGGCCACCCACCUUGUGAAAGGCUUCUCUGCUCAUGGUCACGUGACACCUCUCUUCACAUUUGGAGAAGUUGAUCAGGUCAGUUGAGAGCAGAAGUCGGGCUCCCAACUGAUGCCCAGGGGGGCCUCACUACCCCUGCACCCAACUGGGGCUUUGCCACCCUAACCACUUCUACAAAUGUGAUCAUACAAUUUGUGUUUUCUGUGAUGGAAAUUAGCUGGGUUGUGAAAUGACAACCACAGACAUGUGUACUGUGAAACUGUUAAAUCAGUUUGUGUUGUGCUUUAAGUGUGUGUUUUUGUGUCAACAUAGCCUAGCAGGUGACUCUCAAAGUCUGAUCCCUCCACAGUAGGAUGAGUGCCACUAAAGAACUGUCAGAUCCCCAGCCCCACCGAGGCCCAGGGAGUCACAAGCAGUGGGGCAGGGCAGCAGAUACAGUCGGUCCAAGGUGCUGUCCAGGAGCCUCGGGUACGGACGGGAGUGCAUCCUCUUCUGAUGAGCGGAGACCAGGAGAGGUCACGGAGGGCAGGAGUCCUGAGUGCUGCAUGCAACUGGAAACAUCUGGAGCAACUGUAACAAAACAGCUGUGUCACCCCACCCACAGGAGGCUGGCUCAGCUGGUCUGCAAUGGAACCCAGCCUCAUGCUUUAAAAUCAUCCUCCAGGUGACUCCAAAGCGAGUGGAGGUUGAAGUCACUGAUGCUACCUCCGUCAUUUACUGGCAGGCAGGAGGCUGUGAGGGGCGGUCAGCUUGGCCAGGCAGUGAGCUGCGUGCUCCCACUGAGGAGCAGAGCAUGCUGGGCAGGCACAGGAGCGAGUCAUCCAUCGUGCGCAGUUCCGAGAUUCAUAAUCUGCUUUGACCUGGAUGAGUCACAGGAGGUCUCUGCUCCUGCCUCCCCUGUGCGUUAGCAAUGGCUCUGCAGCCCCGUGAUCCCAGAUGGUUUAAUAGACAUAAAAUUGCUCAUCCUGGGAGACGCGACAUCUUUGACAUAAGGAUGAUGGAAGCAACAAAUGGGUCAUGAUUAGAACAUUAGAUGAAAUCAGCCCGAUUUCCUGCUUGCAUCUGACGGAUCAAAGCCCUGUGUCGAUACUGCCUUUCCAGGACAGAGAAUGCCUGGCCUUCUCAAGCAACACAAUAGGGUUAUUUCUGAACAGGAUGUUUCAGCCACAAGUGGUAGGUUCUUCACUUUUUGUUGUUAAUUUUUCUGUAUCCAUUUGAUUUUCAAAGACAUCCUUCCUAUUC